GACGAACGCUGGCGGCGUGCUUAACACAUGCAAGUCGAGCGAUGAAGCACCUUCGGGUGUGAAUUAGCGGCGAACGGGUGAGGAACACGUGAAGAAUCUGCCUUCAACUCUGGGAUAACUCCGGGAAACCGGGGCUAAUACCGGCUAUGAGCCUUGAUCGCAUGAUCGGGGCUGGAAAGUUUUUCGGUUGAAGAUGACUUCGCGGCCUAUCAGCUUGUUGGUGAGGUAAUGGCUCACCAAGGCGACGACGGGUAGCCGGCCUGAGAGGGCGACCGGCCACGCUGGGACUGAGACACGGCCCAGACUCCUACGGGAGGCAGCAGUGGGGAAUAUUGGGCAAUGGAGGAAACUCUGACCCAGCGACGCCGCGUGAGGGAUGAAGGCCUUCGGGUUGUAAACCUCUUUCAGUAGGGAAGAAGCGAAAGUGACGGUACCUACAGAAGAAGCACCGGCUAACUAUGUGCCAGCAGCCGCAGUAA
rnacentral:rRNA from 1 species